AAUGCGACCUCAGCUCAGGCGGGGCUACCCGCUGAGUUUAAGCAUAUCAAUAAGCGGAGGAAA
rnacentral:rRNA from 1 species